UACGGAGGAUCCGAGCGUUAUCCGGAUUUAUUGGGUUUAAAGGGUGCGUAGGCGGACUAAUAAGUCAGCUGUGAAAGUUUACGGCUCAACCGUGAAAUUGCAGUUGAAACUGUUAGUCUUGAGUACACAUGAGGUAAGCGGAAUUUGUGGUGUAGCGGUGAAAUACUUAGAUAUCACAAGGAACUCCAAUUGCGAAGGCAGCUCACUGGGGUGUAACUGACGCUGAGGCACGAAGGUGCGGGUAUCAAACAGG
rnacentral:rRNA from 1 species